AUGAGGCCACCUUUAAGGAGAUCUGGGACGACGCGAGCUACAAGGCGACUGGUCUGCCCAGGAAGAUCCCCGUGCUUGCGCUCAUCCACCCCACCAACCCCGACGUGGUCUACUUUUUCCUCGACGAGCAUCUGCUCGGUGUCAACGUGCGUGCUCGCAAGGUUGUGGAGUGUGAGGUCUACGAGCUGGUUGCGCCGCCUAGCGAGCACGUCGCCACCCGUUUCAUUCACGCUUGGCAGCUGCCACCAGCUCUCUGCUCAGGUAAUUGUGGGAGAGAGCAUAUGCAAAUGUUCAACUUUCAGGCUAUGUAUGUACGCUUAG
rnacentral:rRNA from 1 species